rnacentral:rRNA from 1 species
GACUUGUGGAUAGCGGUGAAAUUCCAAUCGAGCCUGGAGAUAGCUGGUUCUCCCCGAAAUAGCUUUAGGGCUAGCCUCAAGCUUAGAGAAACGGAGGUAGAGCACUGAAUGUCCUAGGGGGUAUUGCACUUACCGAAGACUAUCAAACUCCGAAUGCCGUAUUCUUUUGCUUGGGAGUCAGACUAUGGGUGAUAAGAUUCAUAGUCAAGAGGGCAACAGCCCAGAUCGUCAGCUAAGGUCCCUAAAUGUAAGUUAAGUGGUAAAGGAUGUGGAAUUGCACAGACAACCAGGAUGUUGGCUUAGAAGCAGCCACUCAUUUAAAGAGUGCGUAAUAGCUCACUGGUCGAGUGAUUCUGCGCCGAAAAUUUCCGGGGCUAAAACUUACUACCGAAGCUACGGCAUCAUUAUGAUGGGUAGGGGAGCUUUCUAUGUGGCUUGAAGCAUGACCGUAAGGACAUGUGGACUGCAUAGAAGUGAGAAUGUUGGCAUGAGUAGCGAGAUGUGGGUGAGAAUCCCACAGGCCGUAAACCCAAGGUUUCCAGGGGAAGGUUCGUCCGCCCUGGGUUAGUCAGGACCUAAGCCGAGGCCGAAAGGCGUAGGUGAUGGACAACAGGUUGAUAUUCCUGUACCACCAAUAACCGUUUGAGAAAUGGGAUGACACAGUAGGAUAAGCUAACCGCACUGUUGGUUAUGUGCGGGCAAGUAUUGAGGCAGUUCCGAUAGGCAAAUCCGUCGGAAUAAUGCUGGGGUACGAUGCGGAGCGAAAUUUAGUAGCGAAGUAGCUGAUUUCACACUGUCGAGAAAAGUCUCUAUCGAGGUUAAAGGUGCCUGUACCGCAAACCGACACAGGUGGGUGAGGAGAGUAUCCUAAGGCCAGCGAGAGAACUGUUGUUAAGGAACUCGGCAAAAUGACCCCGUAACUUAGGGAGAAGGGGUGCCUUCGAAAGAAGGCCGCAGAGAAUAGGCCCAAGCGACUGUUUACCAAAAACACAGGUUUCUGCUAAGUCGCAAGACGAUGUAUAGGAGCUGACGCCUGCCCGGUGCUGGAAGGUUAAGGGGAUCUGUUAGAGCAAUCGAAGCAGUGAACUUAAGCCCCAGUAAACGGCGGCCGUAACUAUAACGGUCCUAAGGUAGCGAAAUUCCUUGUCGCGGCAGCACCAUCUCGCUGGCCGAUUGGCGGCGGC